GUCUUCUUAGCCAGACCUUGUGUCCUUCCUGGUCUCUGAGAGGAUACCAGCAGCUGAGGACUUCCACAGCCCCCCCCCCCCACACACACACACUGACGUGCAGUGACCUCCUGGGGGCCUAGGCAGCAAGCACUUAGCUGCCCAGCUUCAAGCUAGGCUCUUGCAGGCAGAGGAAAGGAGUCCUGGUCCAAGAGUGGAUGCCCCCUGACCUGCCACCACCCGCUGGGGUUCUCCUAAAGGCCUCUUGGAGUGGCUUAACAGAAACAGCCACCUCAAAAGCCCACCUGCUACCAGGCAAGGCCCGCUUUCCUCUACAAACGGCUUUCAGGGAGGCCUGGAUCGCGUUUGAAAACCCGUAAGCAGGAGGAGGUUUGGUAGGCUGUGUACUGAAAUUCCUCAGUGGUUACAUCAAUUACACACCGCCUGGAAAUCUGAAAACCGAUUAGUUCAUUCAUGACGUCGCUGAAACAGCCCUUCAAAAAAAAACCUCAACCUAAAAAAUCCCCUUUAAGAGCCCGAACUAAAUCUACCCACCUGAGAUAAAUAUUUCUGGACAUCAAAGAAAGCCUGGAUAUGAUGCUCCCCCGCCCCCACCCUCAUAAGUGAUAAUAGCCACCAAGGCUUAAGAAGCCAAUUCUGACAAAUGAGGGGCAGUAGAUUCCAGGAGAGAUACACCUGCAGAAAGCUCUGGAAUUCCAGGACUAACCCCACCCUCGGGUCUUUAAAGACACCACAGAUGCGCCUUCCCUUGCUUUCUGCAUAGCUGGAGAGAGAACCCAGGGCCUCCUACAGGCUAAACCUAGGCUCUGGGGUUAAGCCGCAGAUCCACUGCCUUUGACCGUCCUUGAUGUUGGAGAUCCACCAGUCUGGGUUUCUGAGGUUUUAUGCUGGAAACCAGACCAGGUUUGGAUUGGGAGCAAAUUCCUCUACCCAUCAGCCAUCUCUUCUGCUCAAGAAUUCGUUCAUCAAGACAAGUUUUUUUAAUUCCAUUCUUCAAAAGUUCCAAGAGGAGGACCGGAAACAGCCACACAGGAAGUUGGAAGGGACUCACUGAAACUCAGGCACAUGAUGUUUCAGGUAGCAAUAUGCAACUUCGGUGCCUGUCAAUAGUGACACUCCGGAAGCCAACCCUGCUGCUGCUCCAUUGGCUCUGCAGGCAGAAGCAAUCAACAUAUGAUCUACGGCUGCACAGGAUGUCAGCAAUCCCAGCUUAGGAUUCUACUUCUUCCUGGCAGGAGUAGGCUAAGUUUUGUUAUAUUUUGUUUUGUUUUUCAAGACCGGGUUUCUCCGUCCUGGAAUUCACUCUGUAGAGCAGGCUGGCCUUGAACUCAGAGGCCCUUCUGCCUCUGCCUCCCUGCCUCAUUACCACCGGGCGCAGGGACAAGCCUUUGAGCCUGCAAGUAACUGCAGCAGUGAGUACACUAGGGUUAGGGUCUCAUCGCCUUAGGCACCGGUGGAGAGUAACGCUCUAUGUCAGUGGCUAAUGUUUAUGUGGAGAACUAGCUUAUGAUAGAGCAAUUAACCCAUUAAUAAUCCACAACAAAGCAGUUGCCCUUGCUGGGAAAAAAUGUUUUCAUUACCAACACAAAAACAAAACAAAAGUCAAACCACCCGGGAGCUGGGAGACAGCUGGUCAGUUAAGGUCUACUUGCAGAGGUCCUGAGUUUGGUUCCAGCACUCAGCCUCCAACUCCAGCUUCAGGGGCUCUGGCGCCCCCUUUUGAACUCCUCAAGCACUGCACUCAUGUGCACCGCCCCCCCAUAUAUAAUUAAAAAUAAAAAAUUUAGAAAUAUCCAAUCAUGCCCUGUGCCUAGGUUGCAUGACUUGGGGCCUGCCAGAUGGCCUUAGUCUCCUGCUGUGACUCACCUAGCGUGUGAGGGCGGCUUAAGCAGAGAGAGGACUGCAUGUUUCAGGCACGUUCCUCAUUUUCAAGAGCAGUCCAGAGUGACACUUGCUUAGAAGCCUGAAGGAAUGCAGCCCUUCACAUUGGGAAAUCCUCAGCGUGGCCGCUUGCUCACGCUAUGACUCAGGCGGGAACCGUUCGUUCAGCAGUUUGCCAGGCAUUUACAUGACAAACUGAGUUCCUGCCACUGAGUACAUUCUUAGUCUUGGUCUGGACUUUGACUUAGAAUCUGGCCUAAGUAUACAUAUUGUAUACAGAGGACCUGGACAAGGCUCACAGCAUUUGAAUCACUGAUUCUGCUUGUGUGACCUGUGGAGAGCAUGUAUAAUGUAAAACAAACAAAACAGGAUUUCUCUGUGUAACAGUUCUGACUGUCCUGGAACUCACUCUGUA